rnacentral:rRNA from 1 species
UAAUACGGAGGAUGCAAGCGUUAUCCGGAUUUAUUGGGUUUAAAGGGUGCGUAGGCGGACUAAUAAGUCAGUGGUGAAAUCUCUCGGCUCAACCGGGAAACUGCCAUUGAUACUGUUAGUCUUGAGUUCGGUUGAGGUAGGCGGAAUGUGUAAUGUAGCGGUGAAAUGCUUAGAUAUUACACAGAACACCAAUUGCGUAGGCAGCUUACUAGACCGACACUGACGCUGAGGCACGAAAGCGUGGGUAGCGAACAGGAUUAGAUACCCUGGUAGUCCACGCCGUAAACGAUGAUUACUCGUUGUUGGCGAUACACAGUCAGCGACUAAGCGAAAGCGAUAAGUAAUCCACCUGGGGAGUACGCUCGCAAGAGUG